CGCUUCUAGCCCCCGGUGACUUUGACCGGGGUGGGGGUGGGGUUCUGAAAAGGGAGCCUGUCCUCGGCCAGGAGCACCUGCAAAUCCACAGGGGCGUGGCUUGGCCCGCUAACCUCUGCCUCACCUGCCCGAGCCCGCCUGGCAGCCUGCUGGGUCCCAUCCAGGGUGCACUCGGGGCCGGGUUUCGGGCUUCCCACGGGCAGGGGUGAUGCCAGGCCCUGGCUGCGGGCGGCAGGGGGCCACCUCCGCGGGCAUUUCCUCCUGCGCCAGGCCAAGAGCGCGACUGUUCUGAUUACGUGUCGGCCAGGAGCCGCAGAUGUUGUGCAAGCACCCCUCUCCGGGACUAGCUGUCUCCUCCCCUUCUCCCCAGCCAGGCUCCUCCGGCCCACCUCCUCGGGGGUCCUGCCUGCUCUCCCGGGUAGACCGUCCCGUGCCCCUUUGUGGGCCCCACCGGGUCCUGCCCGCAGGGACAUCAUGACACACGCCAUGUGGUCUGCUCCUCCCCCACCAGGCCCAUGGCUCUGGGAGGACAAGGACUCUGUGGAACCCACAUCUCCCUCCCCAUCUAUGGCGCGUCGCAGGCACGCGGAUACCUGUCGUUCUGGGUGUGAUGCCUCCUUCUGAUGGGCUUUGGGUCAAGCGUCGCAACAGAAAUACCCAGGACUGAAGUGCACGUCCCCUGCUGCAUCAUAUCUGGGGUCACACGGUGUCACCUGUCCCAUCGCUGGUCCUGGUAAUGCUGAUCCCUCGGUUAAGGUCAGGUCUGCUAGGUUCCUCCACGGUAACGGGACUGUUUUCCCUCUGUAACUAAUAAAUGUCUUCUGGGCACCUGGUG